CCCUAUCAUUAUAAUAAAUAUAAUGUAAGAUUUAUAAUAAAAAUAAAUUUUUAAUUGUUAAACGAUUAUAGGUAAAUUAGAGUAAAAUUAUUAAGAAAAAAGAAUUAAUCAAAUAAAGAUAAAAUUUAAUGAAUUGAUUAGGACAGCUCGAAACGAAGGUUUUUUUCUAUAUUUUACUGACUGUGAGGGAUUAAGGCAGAGGGAGCAAAAAAGAUUAGAUACCUUAGUAGUCUCUGCAUUGAACUAUGAAUAUUUUAUUUAUUAAAAAAAUAAAUAACAGGGAAACCUUAAAUAUUCCGCCAGGAGAGUAUAGCUGCAAAGUUGAAAUUCUAGACAAUAGGCGGUUUAGAGCUUCAAUAGUGGAUUGUAAAG
rnacentral:ncRNA from 1 species